CUGAAUUAUUGUAUAAGUGGUCGGUUCCAGCAUACAGGGAUGCUAUGCUGACAUGUCUUAAGGGUCAUGGAUGUCCUUCACAUUGAGGAGAUUCCAGCAAAACAAGAGGUGGACAAAGGAUGCGAAGGACAUUCUGCCUGGGCAUCUCGUGCAUUAUCAGAAGGACCAAUUUGUUGAUAAGUCUUUGUAGGCAGGCGAUGGAUGCUGCUAGGAUGGCCUGGAUGGGGGAUGGUAUUGCUGAAGCGCUCGAGCACCUGUCGGCCGGUCUGAUAGCUCUAAUGGCGAGUUGUGCGCUGCUAGGUGAGAAAGAUUUAAAUAUGGCCGUGUAGUUUGUGAUUCGAGGAUUUUCUCGUGUGUUCUGUGAGCCACUCCACGCCUGUUCCUCCAGUGCGUAAUCUUAGUAUUGCUGUGUUGUUUCGUGCUGUAGUGUAACUCGGCAGACCUUAUCAAUUGGGAGAACAAUAACAAAAUUGUUCUACUUGGCAUUUGAAUUUUGUA